ensembl:lncRNA
CUGGGUUCUUUUCAGUCUUAUAUAAUUGGUCUUUUCAGACUUAUACAACAUUUGUGUAAAGUUUUAGUCUUAAGUUUAUAUUUGUAACACACAUUUUAUUUUAAAUAAAUGAAAAAGUGGUACUGGAAGUUUGCCCCCAAUCCGAUUAAUCGAAAAAAUUAUUGGCCAACUAAUCGAUUAUGAAAAUAAUAGUUAGUUGCAGCCCUAGUUGAUUCUGAACACUGCCACAUUCCCAAAUAUAAUAUAUUCAGAUACAAUGUCUUAUAUUUAUAUAAAGGUUAAAUUAUUAGUGUAGAAUUCUGUGAACCGGAAAAUAAAAAGCUACACGUGAAUUGUUUUCAGUACAGAUUUUAUUUUGCAUGAAUGGUGCCUGAAGUAGUCGUUUUCAGAAUUAAAAAUACACAAAAAUCCAUUUGUAAUGACACCUUAUAUUUAAAAAAUACAAAUAAAAAAAAUUAACAUACAAGCACAUGAGGUAGUGUUUUUUUUUAUUUUUUUUUACAACUAUUAAACUACAACCACACAAACUUAAGAAGUAUUAUUUCAAACUUAAGAAUUAGCACACGUACAGCAUUUAUGACCCGUUUGUAAAUCUAAUUAAAUCUAAUUUUUGAUAAAAAUUGAUAUAAAGAUGUAAGUUAAUGUGUCUUCAAACAUCACAAAGACAUUGUGUUCCUGAGGAAUAAAAAAUGGAACCGCAGAAAGAGGAAAACGUUUCGUAUCUUUCUGCUAUUUUGUGUAAUACAAAACAUUUUGUGAGAUGAUUAACACGAUCAAAUUCACUGAACAAUUCAAUAUUAAUAACAGUUAUGAUCUAUAAGUAACAGUGCAUCUGAUUCAAUACCAAAAAUGACCAAUUAAUGAAUGGUAAAGUGUUCACUGUAAACAUAAUCGAAGGACAGAUAUGUUAGCUCUUAGACUAGCUGAAUGAGCUAAGUGUUAAUGAUGUACAGCUGAGCAUGAACAACGUUUUUGUUUUUUUUUUACCAUUAAUGAACAAAAAAAAGAAGACAUUUUCAUUCCUCUAGUUUGUUUUUUUCUGUCAUUCCUGAGAUAAUUCACGAUUUGCAGAGUAUCCUCUCAUUCUGAUUCACUAACUGCAUAUUUCUCAUAAUUCUUUGUGCGAGUUUGUGUCUAGAAUACAUAAGUAGUGUCCAUUAAAACAUCACAUAUUUAAAACAAAAAAAAAAAAGAAAGCCUUGUAAACUUUUAUGGGUUAAUUUCCUGAGUAUUUUCCUGAGUAUAAAUACCUGACUAUUUACUUCAUCUUUAAAAUGUCUAAUCAGGUUUCUUCCCCUCCUUAACAUUCUGUCUUCACCUUACGUGUGACUAGAAUUUAUUGAUUGGUUCGGGGAUUAGUGCUUGCUGUGGCUUAUGCUUCACUGCACUGAUUGAUUACUUACAGAGCGGGGGUUAGAGAACAAUAGUCGGUCUGAGGAAAAGGAAAUGUAGGGCUCUACGGAUAUAGGCUGUGUUUCCACCAUGGUUUAGGAACCUUCUGAAAUUCAGAAAUCUCCUGGAUGGGUUCUUGUUUUGGGUUCAUGAUAUGGGAGAAUAACAAGAUGUAGGUGUGUAACGCUUCAGUGCCUGGCAAAAUCACAGCAAACAUGCAGGAAGCUGAGAUUCUGAGACUGAAGUUCUUCUUGAAUAGUUCUGUCUUUGUUGCAUCAAGUGACGUUAAAAUCACUAGCCGUGUUUGCACCCUUCAAGUCUUUGUAGUUGCUAGCUAAAUACAAGAAGGUUGAGCAACUAUCAGUAAUGUUCACUAUGCCAAUGCCAAUUGUUUCUAUGGAAGACUCGGCCCAGGGCUCAAAUCGGCCCUGGUUGCCCUGGUGAUAAUGCACCACAUAUUCCUAAAUAAUAACUAUAUUCUUUAAAAAAAGUUCCUGCGGUGGAAAUGUUCCUAAAGUAAACAAGUUCCUUUUAACCUUUCUACAUUGUGGUGGUAGAAAUGCGUUUAAAAUUCCUGAGUUCCUGAAAAGAUUCCUGAGACAAAAAUGUGCCUAUAGAUCAUGGCUUGUGUAUGACCUAGAAGCAAUGUUCAGUACGCCAAACAGGAACUUAAAUGGCUCCUAAAACCAACGUCACCAUUACAGUGGGACAACUAGGGAUUCUGUCUGGGGCUUGGGCCAGUUUGUGAAUAUCAAUAUAUUUGUGAGAAACUAUAUUGAUAUUAUGACAGACCUAGAUCUAGAAACAGGUUCCACUAGUAAUAAAUCCUGAAAAUGUUACUGUGCUGAAACAAGACUAAAAUUCCUUUUUUUUAAAAAAAAAAAAAAAGAAAAAAAAGAAGAUUCCUGCUAUGGAAAAAGAUUGUGAUUAUGAUACACCAAUUUGUAGUAGUAAUCUGGGAAUCAUAAAAUGUGAUAUAAUAUGUAGCAUGAAUUCCUUACAAAUUCCCAACAUCAAAAUAAAAUCUAAUUUAAAAACUAACAUUUGUCAUCAUUCAGGUUCAAAUGGAGAGUGAAGAUCUGCAGAUAAAACCAAAGCUCUACGAACGCUCCACUACGUUGCAUAUUUUGGGCCAUCUCAGGGGUAGGUGUAUCAGGGGUAGGUGUAUAAAGGGUAGGUGUAUCAGGGGUAAGUGUAUCGGGGGUAGGUGUAUCGGGGGUAGGUGUAUCGGGGGUAGGUGUAUCAAGGGUAAGUGUAUUAGGGGUAGGUGUAUUGCUCAGCACCAUUAUAAGACGCUGUUUCUGAGGGCUGUAAAUAACUGCUCUUCCUUACCAGGUCUACCUUCAUAACUGGCUGUGGGAGAAUCCUGUCUGGCCUGAAGCUCUGAAGAUCUGCACUGCUAUUUGGGAUGCCAUUGCUGAUGGGAUGCUCACUGUUAUCUCUUGCCGUAUAAGGUGACACUCUGGUGCUUUUGUUUAGAUCGAAUCCAAAAGUCUUGUUAUGUUCCUGGAACUGCUCGGACCGUUUCAGAACCUGGGUGCUGUGGGUGGGUUGGAGGCCACUGCUCAGAGGUGGUAGAAGGGAAGGAGAACUAGGGUUGGUUAAACCCGGGGGAUAGGUAUAGACUGGGGCAGGAGUCUGGUAGGUUGGCGGUAAGGCAAAAGCUGGCUGGUGCAAGUAAGUGGGUCGAGGGUACAAGUGCGACCCGCUGUAGGUGGAGGUAUAAUCUUGAGAUAUGGCCCCAUUACCGAAUUGCUCUGAAAGGUUACUUGCACUCGCUACAGAACCUUUUAUUCCAUCGAUCCCAUCUGCGUUAUAGCCCAUAGACCAGGCAUCCUGGCCGGGUUCACUUCUUCGGAAUGCGCCGGGCUCCGGGUAGACCGGAGUGAAGGAAUACCUCUCAGCAUAGCGCUUCAGCAAGGUGGAGGCGCUGAGGGCGCUGAUAUCGUCAGAAUAUCCGGUGAAAGCAGGAUGACUGGGCUGCGGAUAUGAAACAGGCUUAGGGUGGGCAGGAGGUGACGUGGUGGAAGUGAUGUCAUAGUGUUGCUCUGCCCACUCAGACGACCAGUGCAUCUUUACCACAUCUAGCAGGAAGAGAGACGUGGAAAUUAUUAGAAAGUGGAAGAGUGAUUAUGCAAAUUAGUCACAUGAGUGCGAUUUGAGUAUCAGAGCCUCGGAUUAGCCGAGCAGGACCUUAGCUGAGAUUGCUAGCUUGCUAGUUUAGCAUGUAUGCUCCAGGAAGCACAUAAUAGUUUGCACAUCAGGGGUGAUCGGUUCAAAGCUGUUAAGUCCCAAUUUUGUAACUUACAUACUUACACUUACAU